GUGUCCUACGGGGCGCAGCAGUGGGAAAUAUUGGGCAAUGGGCGCAAGCCUGACCCAGCAACGCCGCGUGAAGGAAGAAGGCUUUCGGGUUGUAAACUUCUUUUCUCAGGGACGAAGCAAGUGACGGUACCUGAGGAAUAAGCCACGGCUAACUACGUGCCAGCAGCCGCGGUAAUACGUAGGUGGCAAGCGUUAUCCGGAUUUACUGGGUGUAAAGGGCGUGUAGGCGGGACUGCAGGUCAGAUGUGGAAACCACGGGCUCAACCUGCGGCCUGCAUUU
rnacentral:rRNA from 1 species